GCAGAGAUGGUUCAGUGGUAGAAUUCUCACAUUCCAUGUGAGAGUUCCAGGUUUGAUUCCUGGCCAAUGUA
rnacentral:tRNA from 1 species